rnacentral:tRNA from 6 species
CGGGGCGUAGCGCAGCCUGGUAGCGCAUCUGCUUUGGGAGCAGAGGGCCGGGGGUUCGAAUCCCUCCGCCCCGACCA